rnacentral:rRNA from 1 species
AGAGUUUGAUCCUGGCUCAGAUUGAACGCUGGCGGCAUGCCUAACACAUGCAAGUCGAACGUGAAAGUCACUUUGGUGGCGAGUAGAGUGGCGGACGGGUGAGUAACGCGUAGGAAUCUGCCCAGUAGUGGGGGACAACUCGGGGAAACUCGAGCUAAUACCGCAUACGCCCUAUGGGGGAAAGUGGGGGAUUUUUGGACCUCACGCUAUUGGAUGAGCCUGCGUUGGAUUAGCUAGUUGGUAGGGUAAAGGCCUACCAAGGCGACGAUCCGUAGCUGGUCUGAGAGGACGGCCAGCCACACUGGGACUGAGAUAUGGCCCAGACUCCUACGGGAGGCAGCAGUGGGGAAUAUUGGAUAAUGGGCGUAAGCCUGAUCCAGCAAUGCCGCGUGUGUGAAGAAGGCCUGUGGGUUGUAAAGCACUUUCAAUUGGGAAGAAAUGCUUGAGGUUAAUACCCUCGAGUUUUGACGUUACCUUUAGAAGAAGCACCGGUUAACUCCGUGCCAGUAGUUGUGGUAAUACGGAGGGUGCAAGCGUUAAUCGGAAUUACUGGGCGUAAAGUGCGCGUAGGCGGCUCGGUUAGUCAGAUGUGAAAGUCCUGGGUUUAACCUGGGAACUGCAUUUGAUACUGCCGGAUUAGAGUGCAGUAGAGGGGGGUAGAAUUCCGGGUGUAGCGGUGAAAUGCGUAGAUAUCCGGAGGAAUACCAGUGGUGAAGGUGGCCCCCUGGACUGAUACUGACGCUGAGGUGCGAAAGCGUGGGGAGUAAACAGGAUUAGAUAUCCUGGUAGUCCACGCUGUAAAUGAUGUCAACUAGCCGUCGGGUCCAUUAAAAGGGCUUGGUGGCGCAGUUAAUGUGCUAAGUUGACCGCCUGGGGAGUAUGGCCGUAAGGUUAAAACUCAAAGGAAUUGACGGGGGCCCGCACAAGUGGUGGAGCAUGUGGUUUAAUUUGAUGCAAUGUGAAGAACCUUACCAGCCCUUGAUAUCCUCGGAAUUUGGCAGAGAUGUUUUGGUGCCUUUGGGAGUCGAGUGACAGGUGCUGUAUGGCUGUCGUCAGCUCGUGUUGCGAGAUGUUGGGUUAAGUCCCGUAACGAGCGUAACCCUUGUCCCUAGUUGCCAGUAUUUUGGGUGGGAACUUUAGGGAGACUGCCGGUGAUAAACCGGAGGAAGGUGGGGAUGACGUCAAGUCAUUAUGUCCCUUAUGGGCUGGGCUACACACGUGCUACAAUGGCCGGUAUAGAGGGUUGCAAACCCGUGAGGGGGAGCUAAUCCCAGAAAACCGGUCGUAGUCCGGAUUGCAGUCUGUAAUUUGACUGCAUGAAGUUGGAAUUGUUAGUAAUCGCAGAUUAGAAUGCUGCGGUGAAUACGUUCCCGGGCCUUGUAUAUAUUGCCCGUCACACCAUGGGAGUGGGUUGCAAAAGAAGUGGGUAGCUUAACCUUUGGGAGGGCGCUCACCACUUUGUGAUUCAUGACUGGGGUGAAGUUGUAAUAAGGUA